rnacentral:lncRNA from 1 species
AUGUGUAAACUUUCCUUUUAUUUACUCCAUGUAAGAUCCUCUGCUCUGUUUUUAAUCCUGUUCUCCUAUGUCCCAGGCUCACAGCAGACUCUUUGUAAUGAUUGGUUGGAAGGAGAUUCAGAAGGCUUCUGCUACCAUGCCUCCAUCAUGGCUCCACUCCCACUUCUUGUGAUUGAAUUCUUUGAUGACUUGUUCAAUUUCUUUUCCUGAAAUGGAAUUAUUUAAGUAUUCUAUUCAUAUUUUGUUUAUUUGGACAAUUUAUACUGCAAAUAUCCCUCCAUUUCACCCAAGUUGUCAGAAUUAUUGUCAUAUGAACACUCUUCCCUGGUGGUGAAUUAAUCAUUUUAAUUUUUGAUCCUGGUAAUGUGAUUUACUUCUUUCCUUUUUAA